GAACUCUGUAACUGCAGUAGAGGCCAAAGCUCGGUUUGAACUUAAUUUGGCAACUUUUGUAAAGGAUAAUAAAAAAUGUUUCUACAAAUAUAUUAAUGGCAAAAGGAAGG